rnacentral:lncRNA from 1 species
GUAACCCUAAUACACCCAUACCCCUUGCAUCCAGGGCACCCUCUACUUUCUUCUAUCUUAUAUUCAUAUUAUUCAGUUUUGCUUCCACUAUUUCCAACCGAUCUCCCUCAAUUCACACUUUUUUGCAAUCGUUAUUCAUCAUCAUCAUACUCCGAUAAUCACGAACUCGCAUCGGAAACCACCACGACUCCAAUUGUAGCCAUCACCACCGUUCACAGCCACCACGACCGCUCGCAACUACCACGACCGCUCGCAACAACCACCGUCGUAAGUCCUCUCAAUUUCUCACACUGAUUCAACAAAAUACUCACUUAUGUUUCGUUUUUCAUGAUUUGUUUUGCUGAAUGUAUUACCUCCGUUUAA